UACACUUUCUUUGGAAGCCAUAAAAGUCGUU
rnacentral:piRNA from 1 species